CGGCCGCCCCGGCGCCCGGCGCGGGAGCGGAGCGGAGCGGGACGCCGAGUCCCGAGCGGCCGGCGGCCGGGGCUCCCCGCCCCUCCCUCCUCUCCGGCGGCGGCGGCGGCGGCGGGCGGAGUGAGCUGCGGAGCCUGGAAUAUGGUCGGGGAAAUGGAAACGAAGGAGAAGCCGAAGCCCACCCCAGAUUACCUGAUGCAGCUGAUGAACGACAAGAAGCUCAUGAGCAGCCUGCCCAACUUCUGCGGGAUCUUCAACCACCUCGAGCGGCUGCUGGACGAAGAAAUUAGCAGAGUACGGAAAGACAUGUACAAUGACACAUUAAAUGGCAGUACAGAGAAAAGGAGUGCAGAGUUGCCUGAUGCUGUGGGACCUAUUGUUCAGUUACAAGAGAAACUUUAUGUGCCUGUAAAAGAAUACCCAGAUUUUAAUUUUGUUGGGAGAAUCCUUGGACCUAGAGGACUUACUGCUAAACAGCUUGAAGCAGAAACAGGAUGUAAGAUAAUGGUCCGAGGCAAAGGCUCAAUGAGGGAUAAAAAGAAGGAGGAGCAAAAUCGAGGCAAGCCUAAUUGGGAACAUCUGAAUGAAGAUUUACAUGUACUGAUCACUGUGGAAGAUGCUCAAAACAGAGCAGAGAUCAAGCUGAAGAGAGCUGUUGAGGAAGUGAAGAAAUUACUGGUACCUGCAGCAGAGGGAGAAGACAGCCUGAAGAAGAUGCAGCUGAUGGAGCUUGCGAUUCUCAAUGGCACCUACAGAGAUGCCAACAUUAAAUCACCAGCCCUUGCCUUUUCUCUUGCAGCAACAGCCCAGGCUGCUCCAAGGAUUAUUACUGGGCCUGCGCCUGUUCUCCCACCAGCUGCCCUGCGCACUCCUACGCCAGCUGGCCCUACCAUAAUGCCUUUGAUCAGACAGAUACAGACCGCUGUCAUGCCAAACGGAACUCCUCACCCAACUGCUGCAAUAGUUCCUCCAGGGCCCGAAGCUGGUUUAAUCUACACACCCUAUGAAUACCCCUACACGUUGGCACCAGCUACAUCAAUCCUUGAGUACCCUAUUGAACCUAGCGGUGUAUUAGGUAUGGCUUUCCCAACGAAAGGCUAAGAAUUCAAGAACGGUCUUAACUGAACCCUCAUCAGAUCUGAAUUUAACAAAUGCUUAGUCUCAGCAGCCUCCGGGGGGGUGGGAGGGAAGCUUAGCCUAGCAGUCAGUGACUUACUUGCACUUUUUGCACACUGAUAGAAAGCAAAAGUCUGGUAUUAAUUGGUUUAGUCAGUAAUCUCCCAAGUAGUGGUAAUUUAUAAAGGAGUGUAUAGUAGUGUACUGACUGCUAAGUGUACUAUACUGUUUGCUUUACUAAUCACCUAAUUCAUUGCAGUUCAUACUUAGUGACUCAAAGUUUAGAACCACAAUCUGUAGGCUUUAAGAAUUGCUUUUAAACCUUUUUAAGUGAUAAACUCUGGAAGUGGUCUUAAGGUUAGCAAAUAAUUAUCAGUAUUAAACAUGGCAUUAUUUAAUUAGUCCUGCUGCAAGAAAGGCACUUCAGUGAAUAUGUGACUAGUAAAGCUUGACUAUGUUUGGAUCUAAUAGAGUUCAUGAAAUCUGUAACUUGGGAUUGUAAAUGAAUGGAUAAAAUAGGUUAAGGCCAAGAUGUUUGAAAUGAAUGCAAUAUUAAUAGAUGCAUAUAUACGCAACAUAUUAUGGUUAAUUUUAAAACUACUGUGCCUUAACGUGUUUCCUAAAACAAAACUUUUGUAGUAAAUGAACAUUUGAAAUCCAUUUUGAUAAACCUACUGUUAAUGUUUGUUUUCUUUUCCCUUGUGAAUGUUUUCUAACUUUGUCUUGGUAAUUGCAAUUUAACUAGGUGCGGUGGCUACUAAAGUUCGAAGGCACGAUAUGCGUGUCCAUCCUUACCAAAGGAUUGUGACCGCAGACCGAGCCGCCACCGGCAACUAACCUAUGACCUUCUGACCUCUGAACUCUUCACCCAAUGAUGACCUGACCAUGCCUGCCUGCUGAUCAGUUAACUGGUAAUCGCCUUUGCUUGCCUGUCGUCAGUGCAGCGAGCUGAGGCACUUGUCCGUUCGUCUUACCAUCUAACCAAACAAAAGACAAAGAAAUUGUUGUCCUCCAACUCAGCUUUUGUUUUUUUUGUUUUUUUUUUGUUUUGUUUUUUUCCUUUUCUGUUUGGGUGAAAGUGGUUCUAGAACCUGCACUGAAUAGUAGUAAAGCAAUAAGGCCCAAUUCAUCCCACAGCACUGAUCAUCUUUUAAUGUCCCACCCUAAGCGAACGGUAAGAAGGCCUCACUUCAGAAGGGGAGACAGAUGGUCCUUAACUACUCAGUGACAGAGGCAGUUACUGUGAGAGACUUCUAGGAAUCUUUCUUCUCAUAGCGAGUCAAAGCUCUCUGAAUGUACUGUGUGAUGAUACAUCAUGCAUGAACCUUUGGUCAGGGAUGUCAUUGGUGAAGUGAUUUCAAAAAGUAUUCAAAAUUUGAUAUGCUGUUUAGUCACUACAGUGCCCUCAAAGGGCAGAAGUUGCAGCCUUUUUUAUAUUGCCUGCCAAAAUUUGAAGUAUUAGAAGUGUGCCAUGAGAGAAAAACUUAACAAGGCAUUUUGAAAAGUAAUGCAAAGAACAGAACUGCAACACUAUUUUUAAAAUAAUAAAUAUCUGAGUUAAAAUUACUGAACCUUUAUUUUACACCUCCUUUAAAAAAUAUACGAGAACAAGGUACAUGCAUUAUGUGUCACAUUACUGGGCAAACUGUUCAAAUAUUUUUUUUAAACCUCCCUGUAUAGAAAAAAAUCAUUAAGGAUGUAAAAGCCAUGCUUGCCUAUUUGCUGUAUACAUGUAAUGAAAUUGUAGAUAAAGUGUAGUGCAUUGAAACAAAUGAACAAAAAGUAGAUACUUUUACUAUACAAGGGUGCUGGUGCAGAAAAAAUAUAUAUAUUUUUGGAAAUGUAGCAUUUUAUACUUUCAAGUGUUAUAAAAAAAAAAAAGAAAAAGAACAAAGAAACCCUUUAUUUCAUUAAAUGAUUUUUUCUGGUGGUUGUCAAGAAACAAAAGACCAAAAGAGCCUUUUUGUCUUUCUUUCUUAUUUUUUAAGUAUUGGAAUAAGUCUAAAGAAAAGAAAGUGCCUUAUUUUCCUUCAUGGUCAUUUAGUCAAGUGUUUGUAAGAUCAGCUCCUCCCUCAGAAUACAAGUUAAUGCAUGUUACUCAGUCGCCCAGUAUGUGAAAGAAGAUAAGAGGGGAGACAAAUGAGUUGAUGGUUUGAAUUAUAUGAUUUUUGCCACGUUACCUUGAUAUAAAUUUGCCAAAUCUGAUACUGUGAAAAAACUCGAUAACUUCUUUUGUAAUGCCCAACAAGUUUUAAAAUAUUCUUUUAAAAUCAUAAUUGCUUUUGAUUAUUUCAGUAUUUAAUGUUAGCCCAAAGAAUUCUGACAUAAAAAUUAUGUAUGAUCUGAACAUCAGUUUACAGACAAAAUUAGGGCUUCUAUUUUAUUCAAGGGGGGUGUGGGCUUGCUGGAUUUUUUUUCUUAUAAAUCGGCAGUAAUAGUAUACCUAUAGUGAUCUUUUUCACGAAUUGAAUAUUUGUGAUUUUCAUUCUGGAAAACAAAUGUUUUUAGCAACCUAAACCACCCCCCCACCACACCCCCACACCCCCCUUUGACUUUAAAAGAAUGUGAAAGACUAGCAUCAUUGUGCAUGUAAAUAUACUCAACUACAUGGGAUUUUUAAACUUCCAAUUUCUUUGGAGUUCAGUUAAUUUUGUAGUUGAAGUGAUGUGUGCACAAAACUUCCGUCUAACUCUCAAGUGGUCAUUAACUGCUCAGUACCAGAUGCGGCAAAUAGCAAGGGGCAGUGGAUCCCCAGCUCAUCAGCUCCUCCCUCUUAACACCUUCACAGCUUCACAAAGGUCAGCAGUAAGCUCAGUAAGCACCUUCACGGUGACCUCUGCAUCAUCUUGUCUCACUCGGAAAUCGCUUUCAGUUUAUUUACUAUGCAAUAGACAUUCAUUGUUUUGUAUUCAGCUAGCUUUGGUUUAAUGUGCCACUGCUUUGUCUUUCUGUUACAUAUACAGUUGUUUUGAUUUAUUUUCAAUAUAUGCUGUGCCAUUUUGAUUUUUACUUUGGUUGGUUGAAUAAAUUUGCGACACUCAAAACACUUGAGGUGGUAGUUUAAAAAAGAUACCAGUAUUUGAUCCAGUUUCAUCUCAGCUAUGUUAUACCUGGACAUUUUAGAUGUUUAUCAAAGGUCUUUUAUGGGGAAGAAAGUAAAUGUAUGAAAUAAAUGUGUGACAUUUAUGAGUAAUGUUGGCUCUGAACAAACUUUUGAAAACUUAGUUGACAAAAUUUUGGAUCAACUGAAAAAAAAGCAUGACUUUUGAAAUCUCUGAAUGCCUUGGUUCUCAGUAUUAUCAUACUUUAUUGAAUUUAUUUCUUAUUAAAAUACGUAGUUUUUAAGACUUUUUUUCUGACAGUAUUAUGUAAUUUUUUAGCGCGGGUAGAUGGGAGUGUCGCUUGUAUGUUACCGUACAGCUGACAUGUAUUUUUGUCUAUUCUUUAUUAUCUUAGUAGUUUCAUGCUAUGUAUGUACCAUAACCAACCUAUUGCCUAUGAGAAACAUGUAAGAUAAUGUAUUUACAGCCAUUGUUACAAGUUUAUAAUGUAUUUUUCUAUCUUGUUUUAUAUGUAUGUUAUAUAACAUUCAAAAAGAAUUUUUUUCUUGAUUGAGAAAAGGAUACAAGAUGCAAAAUCCACAAUUUUGAUAACUGAAAAUUGCCAAUUGUUUUGCAGUACUUUAUUAUAUUGGGUGUCUUGUCUUUCUUGGGCUUUUAGUUAGCUAAUGAAUGAGUACAUUAGACACUUUUGGGUUUUAGUUGGGAUUUUACAUAGCUUGCAUUUUAAUUCUUUGGUUCUUUGCUGUUUCUAUUAACCCAUAGCAUUAUUUUAAUAAAUGUUAUAAUACCAACCUACUAACUCCGGACUAUGUCUGUUUAUUAACCUUUACGUGUUUAAUUAAAAUAAACAAAUAAAAAGACAAAAGAAUGUAAAGUCUUGAAUUACUGGACUAACCCUGAAGAACGUGACCACAGAUAACAUAGCGUGACUUGUUUUUAUGUUGUUUGUCAGCUGACAAUUCCGCACACUACUGUUAAAAUGGCCUUUUACCUUGGGGGGUAGGUGCCAGGAGAGACGGGAACAAAGUAGUGUUGGUUUGAGGCACUAUUCUGGUCUUGCCACUUGGCUUUCAACCUCUGCAUUACUAAUUCCACACUUUCUUAUUUCUCCUCCAAAAUAAUCACUCUCUGCUCACAGCAUAAAGAGUAUAAAGGGAUUCAUUGUAAUGAUAUGCCCGAGAAACCAGUUUGAUUCUUUGUUGAACCAUUUUUCGAAAUUUCUGUUAAGUAGAUAAUUUUAUGCUCACAUUAUAAAUCAAAGAAUCUGUUGAGGUUUUACCUUUAUUCAGAUUUGUGUUUUAAUUGGAUGUUUUUCCUUAAAAAGUUUUGAACUGUUUUAGCCAGCUGUUCCUGUUGGGGGGUGGGGGGGCUAAACAUAGGUCAAGGCAAGGGUGCAGUGGCUCUUGUCUCAGGACAGUCCAAAGCAAGCUGUCCAUGAGGAUGACACACCCACCUUUCCUCGUGUCCCCCUCGCAAGACAGCAGGCAGCAUUACUGAGCAUCUUCCUCACCCCCUAAAUACAACCAAUCAGAAAACUACAUUAUUACACAAAGAAGAAUGCUGGCAUUUGAAAAGUUACAUACCAUUAAUUGUUGGCAUGCAAGUGAAUUUAAGAAGAUUCAUUAAAUAUCUUCAUGCUUUUCCUGGCUGCAAGCUAGGUAAAUUGACCUCCACUUACUGGUUCUUUAAUUUCUUAACUCUUGAGAUGCAUUUCUAUUUCACAGACAUUGGCAGCUUCCUUUUCUGUGAAAUAGUUCUCCUGGAUAGUAAUUCUCAGGAUGAAUUUCUGCAUUUGUAAAUAAUGCCUUAUUUUUGUAAAUUACAUUUUAUUUAUUUUAAAGUUUUAAAAUUGGGGCUGAAAUGAGUCACAUGUUACAGAAAACAUAACUACACCAAUAUGCUAUUAACCAGACUGUCAAAGAAUUCUUAUAGUACAUACACAUAUAUAAAAUACAUGGAAUAGUGAUAGCAUCUAAUUUAAUCAUAACUGAGAUGGUUCUUUGGAUCAAACAAAUACAGUGUUUCUCCAUUAGGGAAGGGGGCAAUGUGUUAUUGUUAGGUAGCAAGAGCUUUAAGAUGAUACUAUCUCUAAAGGUUCACAUUGCCUGUUAAUGUUACAGUUAAUAUUUUUCUGUAAAAAUCUGAAGAUGUCUGUCGCGCUGCUAAUACGUAAGUCAUCAGGGUACCAUGUCACUGAAAUUGAUGAGGAAUUUCUAUGCAAUUUACUCCACAUUUUCUGAAGCCUAUGAAUGCAGUCUCAUCUCAUUUUCAGGGUACUCUUGUGUAUAAUUAUAUCAUAUUGCCACCUUUUAUGUUGGAAAAGUCUAUUUUUAAAAGGUGAAAACAACAUUACGAAUCCCUUUUUUAUGGAGGCUCUAAUCGUAUUAAACAUGAAAUCACCAAAUUGUUAAAAGAAUCAGUUUACUGUUUAUACUACUAGUAUUUGACAAAGCAAUUGAAACUAAGGCUUUCAGUCGAGAAGUUGAUGGAAUUAAUGCACUCUGUAGUCAAGCAUUUUUUUCUUAGGCAAAAUGUUUGGGGAAAUGUGGCAUGAAAGUAGAUACUCGCAUCGGCCCUUGUGGAGGCAGUAGGAGUACCCUAAAGCCAAGACGUGCACGUGUUUACGCAAAAUAGGUGGUUAAGCUUUCCAAAUACAUACUGUAUAAAUACGAAGGAUCUAAAUUUUCUAGUGCACCAAAAGCAGGUUUAAUUUAAAUUGCUCAUUACCAAAUCCAGAGUCUACCAGCUAACACUUUUAUAACUUAUAUAUGACAGUCCAAGGUUUCUCCAGUUUUGUUUUUUUGGAGCGGGGGUUGUUUGCAUUUUGGAAUAAGAUAUGUCAUUAUUCCUUGAUAACAGCUAUUGUAGUAUUUUCAGCAAGUGAUUUUUAAUAGAAUAAAAUGUAUUAUUAAAUUAUAAUCCACUAUUAGCAAAAAUUACUCAAAACUUUUUGGACUUACAAACUUUCUUAAGUACAUAAGGUAACUUCUAAACAUUGUCACAUAUUUAAUACCUUUAUUUAAAAUGGAAAAGUUAAUUCAUUUUGUAGACUACAUUUAGCAAUAGUCAUAUGGUACAUGUGUGAUUUUUUUUAUCUGUGGUUUCUUUAAUAGAAAAUUAUCUAAAUUGAAACGCCUUUGCUAUGAAAAGAGUUAAAAUUAUAGACAUACCUGGUACUCAAUGCUGAAUCAAACUGGUUCACCUAGGCGUAGUACUCUCCUUUCUGUAUUUCGCUGCACUAAUUGCAGGGGGUGGGAGAGAAGGAAGAAGAAUUAAUUCACAGUAGAAGUGGAUGGUAGGUGCGGCAAAGAGCAACACAAUGUUGAUGUCUCAUUGCUUAUGAUUUUGCUGUCCCUUCUUGGGAAAAGACACCACAUUGGAAAAACACAGCUCCCGGGGUAAAAAAUUAUAUCUUUAAAAAAUGCUAUUAUUGAGAAGUUUUGAUUACCAAAUACACCUUUUAUGGCUUAUAUUGUAGAAGUGUAUAUAAAAACGUUUAGUUUUCCUCGUGGAAAUUGUGUAUGUAGAGAAAAGUUGGAAUAGCUCUCCCCAAAUCAUAUGUGAAUGGAGAACCACGUACGACUGUACAUGACGUGCAAUAAACCAGCUGGAAAAAGUGCAUGUGCUUCAUCCUCUUCCAGGCAACUGUGGCUGAAAAUGCUGCCUACUGCCCCUCCCCUGAAAAAGCCACAUGUGUGUAAAUGUCAGAAUAAAGAAUGCACAUUUCAUUUUUAA